GAACACACACAUGGCAAUGGUUGUGACAUUCAGCACUGCCCCGGUUUCUUCCACUUGAAGGAGGCAAACUGGUGAAUGGAAGGAGGCAAUCCUCUGGCAGUGGGAUGCUAAGGAGCGACAAUAAGGCAAGUUUGCUUCCUUGAAGGCUGCUGGUAUCCGUGGUUGGAAGCUGGCGGACAUCUCAUGAUGGUCCUAACAGUAGCUUCUGGGACAACGGGACACCGUGACAGAAACCAAAGUGCACGGAAACGCCAUUGACCUUCCUGCCGCAGCAGUACCUAUUUAUCUACUUACACUGGUGUGCUUUUGAACUGCUAGGUUGGCAGGAGCUGGGACAGAGCAAUGGGAGCUCACCCCAUCGCACGGAUUCGAACUACCGACCCUCUGAUAGGCAACCCCAAGAGGCUCAGGGGUUUAGACCACAGUGCCACCCGCAUCCCCUCCUGGCAGUAUAUCUGACUCUUAACAUGAAGUGACAAAAUAAAAUAAAAUAUGGUUACCUCUCGCAC